UAACUUCGGGAUAAGCCUGGGAAACCGGGUCUAAUACCGGAUACGACGGACCACCGCAUGGCGGUCCGUGGAAAGCUUGAUGCGGUUUUGGAUGGACUCGCGGCCUAUCAGCUAGUUGGUUGGGGUAAUGGCCCACCAAGGCGACGACGGGUAGCCGGCCUGAGAGGGUGACCGGCCACACUGGGACUGAGACACGGCCCAGACUCCUACGGGAGGCAGCAGUGGGGAAUAUUGCACAAUGGGCGAAAGCCUGAUGCAGCGACGCCGCGUGAGGGACGAAGGCCUUCGGGUUGUAAACCUCUUUCAGCAGGGAAGAAGCGAAAGUGACGGUACCUGCAGAAGAAGCGCCGGCUAACUACGUGCCAGCAGCCGCGGUAAUACGUAGGGCGCAAGCG
rnacentral:rRNA from 1 species